GAUGAACGCUAGCUACAGGCUUAACACAUGCAAGUCGAGGGGCAGCGGGAAUCUAGCUUGCUAGAUUUGCCGGCGACCGGCGCACGGGUGAGUAACACGUAUCCAACCUGGCCCAUACUCGGGUAUAGCCUCUCGAAAGGGAGAUUAAUCCCCGAUGUUGUUGUUUCACCGCAUGGUGUAUCAACCAAAGAAUUUCGGUAUGGGAUGGGGAUGCGUUCCAUUAGCUUGUUGGCGGGGUAACGGCCCACCAAGGCUACGAUGGAUAGGGGUUCUGAGAGGAAGGUCCCCCACACUGGAACUGAGACACGGUCCAG
rnacentral:rRNA from 1 species